rnacentral:rRNA from 1 species
GCCUACGGGACGCAGCAGUGGGGAAUAUUGCACAAUGGGGGGAACCCUGAUGCAGCGACGCCGCGUGAGUGAAGAAGUAUUUCGGUAUGUAAAGCUCUAUCAGCAGGGAAGAAAAUGACGGUACCUGAAAAAGAAGCCCCGGCUAACUACGUGCCAGCAGCCGCGGUAAUACGUAGGGGGCAAGCGUUAUCCGGAUUUACUGGGGGUAAAGGGAGCGCAGACGGAAAGGCAAGUCAGAUGUGAAAACCCAAGGCUCAACCAUGGGACUGCUUUUGAAAAUGGCAAACUAGAGUACGGGAGAGGUA